rnacentral:rRNA from 1 species
AAAUAGUGUGUGUUAAAUUUGUUGCGGUAAACAAGCUAGUACUUGGUUUUGUUGGGAACGACAGGUCCGCCCACCGGGUGUGUAUCUGGCUUGUUCUCGGCAUCUUCUUGGUGAACGUUGCUGUGCUUGACUGUGUGGAACGCUACCCAGGACUUUUACAUUGAGGGAUUUACAAUGUUUCAAGCCGGCAUAUGCCUUGAAUACAUUAGCAUGGAAUAAUAAGAUAGGACCUCGGUUCUAUUUUAUUUUUUUUCUAGAGCUGAGGUAAUGAUUAACAGGGAUAGUUGGGGGCAUUCGUAUGUAACUGUCAGAGGUGAAAUUCUUGGAUUUGUCACAGACAGACUACUGCGAAACCAUUUGCCAGUGAUGUUUUCAUUGA